GACGAACGCUGGCGGCGUGCUUAACACAUGCCAGUCGAACGGAAAGGCCCUGCUUUUUUGUGGUUCUCGAGUGGCGAACGGGUGAGUAACACGUGAGUAACCUGCCCUUGACUUUGGGAUAACUUCAGGAAACUGCGGCUAAUACCGGAUAGGAGCUCCUGCUGCAUGGUGGGGGUUGGAAAUUUUCGGCGGUUGGGUAUGGACUCGCGGCUUAUCAGCUUGUUGGUGGGGUAGUGGCUUACCAAGGCUUUGACGGGUAGCCGGCCUGAGAGGGUGACCGGGCAAAUUGGGACUGAGGUACGGACCAGACUCCUACGGGAGGCAGCAGUGGGGAAUAUUGCACAAUGGGCGGAAGCCUGAUGCAGCAACGCCGCGUGCGGGAUGACGGCCUUCGGGUUGGAAACCGCUUUCGCCUGUGACGAAGCGUGAGUGACGGUAAUGGGUAAAGAAGCACCGGCUAACUACGUG
rnacentral:rRNA from 1 species